GAUGAACGCUGGCGGCGUGCCUAAUACAUGCAAGUCGAGCGAACAGAUAAGGAGCUUGCUCCUUUGACGUUAGCGGCGGACGGGUGAGUAACACGUGGAUAACCUACCUAUAAGACUGGGAUAACUUCGGGAAACCGGAGCUAAUACCGGAUAACAUAUUGAACCGCGUGGUUCAAUAGUGAAAGGCGGCUUUGCUGUCACUUAUAGAUGGAUCCGCGCCGUAUUAGCUAGUUGGUAAGGUAACGGCUUACCAAGGCAACGAUACGUAGCCGACCUGAGAGGGUGAUCGGCCACACUGGAACUGAGACACGGUCCAGACUCCUACGGGAGGCAGCAGUAGGGAAUCUUCCGCAAUGGGCGAAAGCCUGACGGAGCAACGCCGCGUGAGUGAUGAAGGUCUUCGGAUCGUAAAACUCUGUUAUCAGGGAAGAACAAAUGUGUAAGUAACUGUGCACAUCUUGACGGUACCUGAUCAGAAAGCCACGGCUAACUACGUG
rnacentral:rRNA from 1 species